GUUUUUAAUAUACAUACAAAACCCUGAAUGGUCAAUUUUUGUGUUGUAGAUGGAGACGAGAGAUCUGGACUUCUGAACAUCUACCAGAAAAGAUAAAAUGUGCAAGCCCUUCAGAACGCUGGGGAGGUUGGGCUGAACUGCAGUGGGAGAGGAGAAGAGAUGCUGGCGUGAAGGGCCGGGGCAGAAGAUCAGGGGAAAAUUGCGGAUGAUCUGAAUGAUAGCAGUGACCACCAGCAACCUACAGAGCUGCCCGACCAGGAAAUUGUCAGACGGAAGCAACGCUUGCAGGCAAAGAAGGCUGAAGCAGGCCAAGGCAGGAAUGAAACAGUCAUAAAUGUUGGAGUGAAGCGACUGACCUCCCCGGUCCACACCCCAGCCCAGCGUCCUGCAUCUGCUGGAGGAUGGUAGAGACCAUGUGGAGGAUGGGGACUUGUCAGUGGAGGAGAACAUGGAAGCAGGAUAUGGCAGUCCCCUAGCGUCCCAGCCACAAGUCCUCUGAAGUGUGUGGAUGACGAUGGUGACUUAGGUGCAUCCUUCGAAUGUCCUGAGGGGGAGACUGGAGAAGCAGACACGCAACUGUGGGAAGAAAUCAAAGGCAUAAAGAACUCACAGCACAAGUCCAAAGUCUGAUCAGCGAGCAGGCCUCUCUGCAGGGUGCAAGGGCACAGCUGGAGAGG
rnacentral:lncRNA from 1 species